UACGUAGGAGACGAGCGUUGUCCGGAGUUACUGGGCGUAAAGGGUGCGCAGGUGGCGGCGCGCGUGGGGGGUGAAAUCGCCCGGCUUAACUGGGCGGGGGCCUUCCAGACGGCGUGGCUUGAGCAGCGGAGGGGGACGUGGAAUUCCGGGUGGAGCGGUGAAAUGCGUAGAGAUCGGGAGGAACACCAGCGGCGAAGGCGGCUCUCUGGGACGGUACUGACGCUGAGACGCGAAAGCGUGGGGAGCGAACAGG
rnacentral:rRNA from 1 species